rnacentral:rRNA from 2 species
GGUAUUGAUAGGUGCUCGCAUCAUGAUUUACAUUUGAGUGAGUGGCGAACUGGUGAGUAACACGUGGGAAACCUGCCCAGAAGCGGGGGAUAACACCUGGAAACAGAUGCUAAUACCGCAUAACAACUUGGACCGCAUGGUCCGAGUUUGAAAGAUGGCUUCGGCUAUCACUUUUGGAUGGUCCCGCGGCGUAUUAGCUAGAUGGUGGGGUAACGGCUCACCAUGGCAAUGAUACGUAGCCGACCUGAGAGGGUAAUCGGCCACAUUGGGACUGAGACACGGCCCAAACUCCUACGGGAGGCAGCAGUAGGGAAUCUUCCACAAUGGACGAAAGUCUGAUGGAGCAACGCCGCGUGAGUGAAGAAGGGUUUCGGCUCGUAAAACUCUGUUGUUAAAGAAGAACAUAUCUGAGAGUAACUGUUCAGGUAUUGACGGUAUUUAACCAGAAAGCCACGGCUAACUACGUGCCAGCAGCCGCGGUAAUACGUAGGUGGCAAGCGUUGUCCGGAUUUAUUGGGCGUAAAGCGAGCGCAGGCGGUUUUUUAAGUCUGAUGUGAAAGCCUUCGGCUCAACCGAAGAAGUGCAUCGGAAACUGGGAAACUUGAGUGCAGAAGAGGACAGUGGAACUCCAUGUGUAGCGGUGAAAUGCGUAGAUAUAUGGAAGAACACCAGUGGCGAACGCGGCUGUCUGGUCUGUAACUGACGCUGAGCUCGAAAGUAUGGGUAGCAACAGAUUAGAUACCCUGGUAGUCCAUACCGUAACGAUGAUGCUAGUGUUGAGGGUUUCGCCCUCAGUGCUGCAGCUACGCAUAGCAUCCGCCUGGGGGAGUACGGCCGCAAGGCUGAAA